GUCGGUCUGGCCGAGGCAUAAAGUAGGAACAAGAGAUUUAUACCAAUACCGAUUACUAUGCCCAGCUCAAGUCGCACGAAAAGGCAGCACAGGAACGUGACUAUGGCCGGUUUUACCACGUGAAGCUCUACCAUGAAAACGACCGCAGCGAUGAUGACGGCCGCCAGGGAGGCCUUGGGAAUGUAAUAUAGAUAGGGUGUGAGGAAUUGCAAUGAUAUAAGUACCAGGAGACCAGUGUAGACUCCACCGAGCGUUGUCUUCACUCCAGACGAAUGAUUGACUGCACCUCGACUGAGGCCGCCGCUCACGGGCAUCGACGAUACAAAGGAUGACAGCACAUUGCACGCACCCAGUGCCAGCAUCUCUUGAGUUGCGUCGAUCGACUUGCCAUCAGCUAUAUAUGUGUAACAUAAAUCCAUUAUUUUUUUUGAAGAAGAAAAAUUGCUCCGAUGAAACAUCUCUAUUCUUUAGAAUACUUUGGCGAUAGAAAUGCUUUCCAGCAAACUCAGCAUGGGAAUGACCACACAGCCGGAGCCCAGAGACGAAAUCAUAUCAAGGAAGGUAAGCAGCAGGACAAUUAUGCAGACGACUCCCAAAGCGGUGUCCCAGAGCCGCGUCUCGCCGAUCUGCUCGAAUAUAUCUCGCCAGACUUGCACAAAUUUGCCACUGGAUACAUGGACCCCGAGAAUGUCUUUCACCUGGCUGGUGGCGAUAAUGAUUGAUGCCGCCGACGUGAAACCGACAGACACUGGCCCCGAUAUGAAGUCCAACAGGAACCCUAAUUGUUGGACAAUACAAAAAGUUAUUUUGCACUGAGAGAAAAAUUGUGGGAGUGGCUUCGAGUGGGAAAGAUAUGUGAAAUAUCAAGCAACAAGGUUGUAAACGACAAGUGAGUACCAUGCGACGUUACCUAAUUGCAAG